rnacentral:rRNA from 1 species
GACGGGGGCCCGGCCACAAGCGGUGGAGGCAUGUGGUUUAAUUCGAUGCAACGCGAAGAACCUUACCUACUCUUGACAUCCAGAGAACUUAGCAGAGAUGCUUUGGUGCCUUCGGGAACUCUGAGACAGGUGCUGCAUGGCUGUCGUCAGCUCGUGUUGUGAAAUGCGGGUUAAGUCCCGCAACGAGCGCAACCCUUAUCCUUUGUUGCCAGCGGUUCGGCCGGGAACUCAAAGGAGACUGCCAGUGAUAAACUGGAGGAAGGUGGGGAUGACGUCAAGUCAUCAUGGCCCUUACGAGUAGGGCUACACACGUGCUACAAUGGCAUAUACAAAGAGAAGCGACCUCGCGAGAGCAAGCGGACCUCAUAAAGUAUGUCGUAGUCCGGAUUGGAGUCUGCAACUCGACUCCAUGAAGUCGGAAUCGCUAGUAAUCGUGGAUCAGAAUGCCACGGUGAAUACGUUCCCGGGCCUU